UUCAAUAGCCAAGGGAUAUCUCGACUCUUACAUCGAUGAAGAACGUAGUAAAAUAUAAUACUUGAUAUGAAUUACAGAAUUCUGUAACUAUCAAGUCUUUAAAUGUAAGUUACAUUCGAAGUCAUUAGGUGGAGGGCAC
rnacentral:rRNA from 1 species